rnacentral:rRNA from 1 species
AUUGAACGCUGGCGGCAGGCCUAACACAUGCAAGUCGAACGGUAACAGGAAACAGCUUGCUGUUUCGCUGACGAGUGGCGGACGGGUGAGUAAUGUCUGGGAAACUGCCUGAUGGAGGGGGAUAACUACUGGAAACGGUAGCUAAUACCGCAUAACGUCGCAAGACCAAAGAGGGGGACCUUCGGGCCUCUUGCCCUCGGAUGUGCCCAGAUGGGAUUAGCUAGUAGGUGGGGUAACGGCUCACCUAGGCGACGAUCCCUAGCUGGUCUGAGAGGAUGACCAGCCACACUGGAACUGAGACACGGUCCAGACUCCUACGGGAGGCAGCAGUGGGGAAUAUUGCACAAUGGGCGCAAGCCUGAUGCAGCCAUGCCGCGUGUAUGAAGAAGGCCUUCGGGUUGUAAAGUACUUUCAGCGGGGAGGAAGGGAGUAAAGUUAAUACCUUUGCUCAUUGACGUUACCCGAAGAAGAAGCACCGGCUAACUCCGUG